GGUGCAGCCCGCAGCGGCCGGGGACGCGGCUGAGGAGGCUGAGGCCGAAAUCAUCCAGCUGCUGAAGCGAGCCAAGUUGAGUAUCAUGAAAGAUGAGCCAGAAGAAGCUGAGCUAAUUUUGCAUGACGCUCUCCGUCUUGCCUAUCAGAGCGGAAACAAGAAGGCCAUCACCUACACCUAUGAUUUGAUGGCCAACUUAGCAUUUAUACGUGGUGAACUUGAAAAUGCAGAAAAACUUUUUAAAGCAACAAUGAGUUAUCUGCUUGGAGGGGGCAUGAAGCAGAAGGUUGAUUCUCCCCACCAGGACCUUUAUAAAAAUUGCCAAUCUUUCACAAUUGCAAAAACAAAACAAAACAAAAAAACGGAAGACAAUGCAAUCGUUGAGAUCUCCUUAAAGCUGGCCAGUAUCUAUGCUGCUCAAAAUAGACAGGAAUUUGCUCUUGCUGGCUAUGAAUUCUGCAUUUCAACUCUAGAGGGGAAAAUGGAAAGAGAAGAUGAGCUAGCUGAAGACAUUCUGUCAGUGGAAGAGAAAGCUGAUACCCACCUCCUCCUAGGCAUGUGCUUAGACGCCUAUGCUCGCUACCUUCUGUGCACCAAGCAGCCAUCACAGGCACAGAAGAUGUAUGAGAAAGCUUUGAAGAUUUCUGAAGAAAUACAAGGAGAAACACACCCACAGACCAUUGUGCUGAUGAACGACCUGGCUACCUCUCUGGAUGCACAAGGGCACUUCGACGAAGCCUUCACUUACGUGCAGAGGGCGUCCGAACUGGCAAGAGAGACUAGACACCCUGAGUUGCACAUGGUACUCAGUAAUCUAGCCGCAAUUCUGAUGCACAGGGAAAGAUAUCCGCAAGCCAAAGAGAUCUACCAGGAAGCACUGAAGCAAGCAGAGCUGAAGAAAGAUGAGGUGUCCAUACAGCACAUCAGAGAAGAGUUGGCCGAGCUGUCAAGAAAAAAGUGAAGUGACACACAUGCACUGAGGUGGGAGUGGAGGGAGGAACUAACAGCAGCUCACCCAGGGGUCCUCAAGUAGAACUGCAAAACAAGAUUAUGGAUGCCAGAAGGAGAGAGGAUGAAAAAGGAACCAGCCUACAGAAUAAUUUGAGAAAAGUGUAAGCUGGACUUGUCUCUUCAAACAUACAUGGAGGAACGCUUGUAAGUUCUUACAGAUUUGUAAGAGCCCCAAUAAAAUGAUUAAUAUGAUAUACUAAAAAAUA